AGCACCACCUGCUGCUUUGAAACUCUUCCAGUGUUCCUGGUUGCUUUUUCCAAGACAAGGUCUGCUCCAUGGGAGGAAAAGGUUAAACGUGGGAGUGAGUAGGGCAAAAGAUUAUGUGAAACAGAAAUCCCAGUGCUGUUUGUUCUGCCAUCUGGUCUACACUUGAUCCAGGGCUGUGGGUGGUUUCCCAUAGCAUUCCCGCUCUUCUCACUCCCACACAGCCAGCGGAGAGCUUUGAACUCCCAGAGCUCCAUGCUCUGCAGAGUCAGGUGAGGUUUGCAUCUCCUUUGUCCCCGAGGAGCUGCCCUUUGGCAGGGCAAAGCUGGGCAACAUGGCCCAACCGCUGCACUGGAGCUGCUGCUGAGAGCCAGUUCCAGCAGCAAUUCAGAAAAGCAUGGACUUCAACACCUUUGACACGAACAGAGCGACCACUGGGGGAUGCUGGGGUCAGUGCAUCCCAUGCCAUGCCUAUAGGGAGAGCCUGGGCAGGACAGCCAUUGGGAGUGCUCAGCGUUUCCAUCUCCGCAGCAACGCACCAGUGGUGCAAGAUGCUUCCUGGUGAGUGGGGCAGCCUGUGCCCACCACCCAGCCGUUGCCACCAUUACUUAAGCCAGCAGCAGGGCAGGCUGAGCCCUGCAAGGCUCUGUGAUGGCACACCAUCCUGCCAGCAGCAGGGCCAGGCACACAUGCCAAAGCAUGGGAGGACAGAGUUGCCACUUGUCCCUGCUUUGCAGAUGAGGGACUGGAGCAUAAAGAUGUGCAAGAGCUUGUGAGUGGGCAGUGCUGCGGCACACCGAGAGCUCAGUGCCUGCACCUCACCCUUUACCAUGGCCAGCAAAAGAAAGGUGAAAUCAUUUUACCUCUUACCUCCAGGUCCCCUUUUUGCUCAGCCCCUUCUGCCAACCCCCUGGUCUCCCAGCCCAACUCGGUUGUUCCCUGGGCCUGCAGGCACUGCAUGCCUCCUCCACCCUCCUAACCACUCCUCCUGCUCUGCUUUCACUUGGGAAUGUGACCUUGCUCUCUAGUUAUUUACAGACAAAAUAUUGCUGCAAGCCUGUGGAAGGCUUUUCUGUGUUUGGUUGUUGUUUUUUUUAAAGUGACUGAAUUCCACAAAAAAUGAAUUAUUUCAAGGGGUCUGUGGGGCCUGGUGGGAAUGCUCUGCUGUGUUUGGGAACAGGCUGCCUGGAGCUGUCUCCCCUGGCCAGCACAGAGAUGCAAGAGGCUAUUCAUUUCCCUAGCUAUAGGAAACGAUUUGUCUCUGGUUUUCUUAGGGAAACAGAGAAACCCACCCCCUGCUUGGGGAACACUGCCAGGAUGGGACAUGGGGUCAUGGCACACACAUAACUGGGACCCAGGCUCCUUUCUGAGGUGUGUGUGAGUCAGCACAUAGUGCUGGCUGUGGGGAAGAGCAGAAGCAGGGGCCACUUUCUGUGGCUCCCCUUCCUGUGCCCCUGGAGCUGGGGCUCUCCACUUCUCUUCGCUUGGGAGCUCCUGGGUCUCCUGCUGCGCUUGCAACAUAAGCUGGAUUUGCUGAGGACCUCAGACAGAUCUGUCACAUCCGAUCGGAAGCAGUGGUGGGCUGAUUUCUCCUUUUUUGUUUUUACUGGCAGGACCAACAGCUGCCCUUUUCCCCGCUGCUGACAAUUCUUCUGUCUAGCUUAACUUCUGAAAGCCUUGUGGUGGUGGUUUCCCACUGUGCAGAGACCUUAUGCCUUUGACCUUGCACUGCUGUGGUACCAUUUGCAUGGCUGCUGGAGGCCAUAAAGCUGUUCAUUGUACGCAAUAGUGUGAGUUGUUAGGUUUGAGCAGCACUGGGUUCUGGAUGGGGCUGACAUGGGGUCCCUGGCUGAUGCUGGUUUCCUUACAGGGUCAACAUAAGCCUUCAGGUUCCUGCAGCCAAGUAGUUGUCCUGAAUAAGGCUGCAUGCUCUACUUCUAUUUAGGAGUAAGCAUAGCAACUGCCAACAGAGGUAAACUUGAUGACAGACAGUGCACUUUUUGCUGUGGGAAGAGUGCUUACGCAAAAAUACCUCGGUCUGGCUCAGGGUGCACCUUGGCUUGGUCUCCCCACAGACCGAGCUGGGGCUGCUGAUGGGCUGGCAGUAGGUGCACUCUGCUCCUUGCCAAAGCUGGGGCUGCCACUGGGAAAGCUCUUGACAAAUGUGGCCACACGGGGUGACCACAAAGCAGGUGCCUGCAAAGCCAUUUCUGGCCUGCUGUGGGGUUAGCACUGGCCCUCCGGAGUAACUCCAGCCUUCCCAGUUUACAGUGAUAAUGGCCUCAUCCAGGCCCUUGUAGAAGCACUGGGUGCAGGAUGCUCACCAGGCAGUGAGAGGAUGCUGAGGGAAUGGAGGUGGUGUGUGUCUAGGGACCUUGAUCAACCAGACAGGUUCAGCCAGUGGUGGCGGUUUGGAGGCCCAUCUUGCAGCAGAUUUGUCUGGAACUUCUCUGGUCCAUGUGCUAGUUUGGGUUCUACUGAGCUACAGAGCACUCUGUGCAAGUCAUAGAUGAGCAUACUGGCUAUAAAUUAGGACAAAAAUCAAUGGAUUUUUGUUGAAUGAAAUUCUGAAGUUUCCAUUGUUGAGAAGCCAUGGGGAAGAAGGCUGGGACAGGGAAGACAAAUUAUUUUAGUCAAAUCCUUAACUUGGAUGCAGCCAGCACAUUCUGCAUUGGAAUGGAAAUGUACUGGGUGAGAGAGAAACAUACCUGCCGAGAUCAAGUGUAGUGGUAGCAGGUAGAGCUGAAGGGCAUCACGAGGCUGUGUCUGUAGGGGCUGCUCCUUAUUGACGCGCCUGCUGAUGUCUUUGCGAAAGCAGCCCCUUGCCACCUGUGCCUUUAGUAGCUGGGAGUUUUUCUGAAGAAGCCGUAGUUAUUGGGGCUCUGACUGUGCCCUGCUGGUACUGAAAUAGGAGCAGUGCUUAGGCAGAGGGGAGCAGAAAGAGCUGCUGGGGAUGCCCCCUGCCUGGCCACCAGGCAGGCAAGCAACAUAUCAUGGUGUUUGCAGAGACCUUACAGGAAACCCUCUGAGGUUCCUACCUAAGAUGCCCAGGCUCCCCGAAAAGGGUAGUGAGCAUGUUUGGGGCUGCCAAACCCUCCCCGCUCCCUGGGUCAGCAGGCAAAAUCCUGUCCCUUUCUACAGCUGUCAGCAGGGGCAGUUACUGGAUUUGAUCACUACCUGCAGAUCAAAGGGCAAACUGCUGCCAACUUGCAGGGGCAGCGGGGCUGUGAGUGCUCGGUGCACUCAAACACGUGCUGAAGGUGGCUGGGCACCAAUUGGGAGUUAAGGAGCAGUAGGAAAGGGCUUCCAUUCUGGAUGCUCUUUGCCAGGGUUUGCAUAGUGUUUGCUGGGUGCUGGAGCAUCCUUGGGAAGGCAGUAAGGGAAAGCUCAGCUCACUGUGUCUACUGUGGCGCACAGCUCUCACCUUCCAAUUCCUAACCUUAGCUGAGGGUAGUGAAAACCCUAUCCCGCUCCCCUAAUCUUCUAAAUGGGUGCCUUUUUAUUAACAGGAUGUUCUGGUUAUCCUUUUUUUGAGCUGGGGGAAGCUGAGGAGUGCACAGGUCUCUGCUCACGCUGCUGGUAAGAACAGGACCAAGCACACCUGACUCUGGAUCCGCUUGGACUGCAUCUGUGUACACAUAACGCUGCCCCUCACUAAGGGGGUCUCUGGCACAUUGCUUCCACCCAAAUAUUAGUGACUUGGCUUGAAGAACCAAGUGCAAUGCAGAGCAGCCCCAGUGCCCAGGGAAGGGUUCUGGCAGGGCUGCCAGUGAGCAUCAGACCAGUGGUGUUGGGGUAAGCCUGGGGCUUUGACGGCCACUCAUGCCCCCUUAAAAUAUAGAAUUAGACAUCCUGAGUGAAGCAUCUUGUCUGCCUGGGUGUCCUGAAGGGUUAAUGAUCCUGGCAGCAGAUGGAUGGGUGGUAAGGAGAUUGAUUGCCUCCCACAAGGUACAUAAAGUCUUGCCCUCCUGCUGAAACACACCACUUGUUCAACCAGGUAAAUACUGGUUUAAAAUCCCCUCUCACAGCAGCUGACCCUACACGUGUUUAUCCAAGUGACUGGAGUUGUUCCAGUCUCUCUGGUAAGUGACCUUUCCUGAAUUUUUCUUUUCAAGUUGACAUUUAAGAAGGGGGGAAAAAGUCACAGCAACAAAUGGUGUUUUAACAGCGAUAAAGCUGUACCCGUCAACAAAGCCAGGAAAGCCAUGCCGGAGACCACGCUGGCGGCUCUGCUGUCCCUGCUGGAGUCCGUAUGGACAGUACUGGCUUGCGUUUCCUGACCUGGUUGGUUUUGCAUAAACCAACAUUUGCGGUGCCUGUGGGCCACUCCUGCCACCCAGGCUGGGCUGUGCUGGGUGCAGGGCGGCUCUGCAGCUCCCAGGAAAGGCUCCUGGGUGCAAUUAAGUCUGAGCCAGCUGCUGGCAGCUGAACACACUCACAGAAUUGUUCAUUACUGCAAUUCAAAUGAAGAAGAGUCUUAAAUCUUCUCUGAAAAGAAUCUGGCUUUGGCAGGCAGCGGAGCACUUGGCUUAUUUUGAAAAUGCCUUGGACAAUUUUGGUAAAUGUUUUAUUGUGUGUUCGGGGGAAGUAAAAUUUACCCCUAGUUUUCCUGUUCCUUGGUUGUCAGCUUCAGCACUGCCACAAGUCACCCCUCACCCCUGGCAGUCAUCUCACAGGGAGAUAUUUAAGCAAUGAAUUCUCUGUGCUUUGCCGGAUGUUUACCUCUUCAGCCCAGAUGCCCAGUAAAUGAGCUCCUCUUCCAGGCUGGGGAAGUGCUGAGGGCAGCACGUAAGGCCUUUCAGCACUGAGGGGUUCCCCAAACCCCACUCUCCCCAUGUCCUGGCAGAUGCCCUAGCUCCAGCAUGCCAGCUUCCAGCCACUUCAUCUCCUCCAGGCUCUGUGGAAUCUCUUGGGUGUCCCAGCCUUCUCCAUCUGCAAAGCACCCUGCAGCCCUUACCCAGGUUUUUGGCUUACUUGCAGGUGGUGAGCAGGACUGCAAGCAGCAACUGGACUGGGGUGUUGGAGACUCCCUGCGAUCCCCCCUCCAGCUCCUCUCCUCAGAGUUCCACUAGAAAUGGUUUGCACGGGGACUACCCCAGGGACGGCCAGCCUGGGGCUCCACGCCAUGCCUGCAUGGUCCUGUGCUAAGAAGAGAAACCGAAACAAAGACUUUCCAGUGGUUGCCUUUCCAGUAGAAGGAGGCGUGGGAGAUCCCUGGGAAGCAGCUGGCAGCGGCGAUCCCCCAGAGCUGGGUACUCCCCUGGUGUUUCUUGCAGAGGGCCCAACAGGAGCGGCUGCAAAAAGGCAUGAGGCAACAAAGGGACCAGGGUGGAGGCAGCACCUUGGUCGUACAACGACAAUGCUGCCGGCUCAGGGUGAUGCUGGGCAGCCCCACACCAGAGCCCUCCUUAGUGCUCAGGCCUCCAGGCUGGUGGCAAGCUCCGCUUUCAGCAAACCAGCAUUUUGUGACAAAUUUCAGUUGCGAAAUGGAUAAGUGGCUCUGUCGUGACAGGCCUGACGGAUGCGCCUGGCUUUGUGGCAAUGCUGUUUCUUGGAUUUAAUAUAUUUCUGCAAGAGGAAAAAACAGUAACAAAAAAAACCCAGCUUUCAGCCUGCGACUUCCCAUGAACUGCUGACCCAUCAUGUGACAGGAGCCGCAGCGGGGCCGCUGCCUUGAGAUGCGGUAUCACCAACUUAUCAAGACGCUCGGGGGCCAUGGGCAAACCCCAGUGCUCAGGUGGGGACAGGCCUCCUGGCACCUGCAUGUGCCAGGGCACAGGCAGCACCCAGGCACUAGACCUCUGGGAACAGGCAAACCCCGAUGUGCUUUAAGAGGGAAGGCAGCAAGCUUAUUUACUGCCAGCCCCCCUUUCCUAUGGAGAGAUGCUUCCUGGCUCCCUGGGGGGCAGUGUGGGCCCCCUUGUCAAUGCCCACCCUGCCCGUCAAAGUACAUUAUAGGCCAUUGUACGGGCUCUUGGCCAGUGGGGUGGCUACCUGGGGUCCUGUUUCAUCGGUCCCUUUGCUCAGCAGCAGGUUUUUGCUUAGCCCCCCAAUCACACGACUUACUGGGUAGUUCUAAACCUGCCCUUGCCCUUCCUGAGCUGCAGCCUGUUUACAAAACAGUGGCUGAGGGCUGCUGUUUAUCCUUACAUACUCAUUACAUUCAGAGUUGCUAAACAGAUGAACCCAAAAUGAAAGUCAUCUGAGUUUUCUUUAAUUAGAAUAAGAUCCUGAUGAAUCAUGAGGUUCUUUACCUCAAGGAUGCACCAAGAAUUGACUUUGGCAGCAGACAUCAAGGUACAGCAGUCAGCAGAGCGAGCUCGCUGCAUUGACAUCUGCUGGAAAGACUUGUUUUUCCCUCCAGAUCACAUGCUAACUUGUGAUCUGAUCAUGAGAUACAAAGGAUAACCUUCCAAUAUUUAUUUUUCUCAUCUGGAAUGUUAAAAGGCAGAGAAAAAGAGUAAAAAGCAGUGUAAGGGAAAAAAAUCCAAACAAAACCCUUCCCUCUUUUGGUUAGCAUUGCUCUAGGUGCUGUGCUUGCUGCUGGGACAGGGCAGGAGAUCGUCCCCAGCAUGGCAGGCUGCACAUGUAUCCGCUGCAGCAAUUAUGGAAUACAUCAGUGUGCGGAGAGCAUCGGUGUGGGCAGAGCAAUCGCUGGUGUGUUCAGCCAUAUAGACAUCCCCCCCUCCAGCAUGAGUGCAGCUGUGUGCAGGCAGAGGUAGGCAGGGACUGCCUGUCCCAGGGUGACCUGCACUGGCACGAGGUGGGGGAAGCUCGUCCGCCUCCAGUGGCUGCCCAAAGCUGGCCCUGUGCCAUCCUUCAACAUGAAACAUGUAUGUUUGAUGAUAAAUGUCAAAGGAACAUUUUUUAUAACAAUAUCCCAAAGUAAUCAGCUAAGCAGGUGGAGUUAUAUGUGCCCUAGUCCAAAGAUUUAUAGGAAGCCCAGCUGCAAGAUUAAACCAGAAUCACCCUCAAAUAAAAUCCCCCAUAUAAUUUUGGGGGAAUUUUGCUAGAGCAGCUUGGGUAUGUUUACUUCUGUGAGAUGAUGCCUAUCAAGCACCAAAAAAACCCCAGAAACCCAUCAUGGUGCUAACAUGGGGGCUGUUGGGAAGCGAGCAUUCAGGCUGCUGAGGGCUUUACCAUGAGAGGAGUUCUUGCUGAAGAGAGACCAAGGCAAAGCAACGGGGGCAGGGUUGUUUAUUUUCCCAGAUGGAGAGGUGUGUACCAUUGACUACUAAAUUUGAAUAAGGAGGUUGCUGCCCAUGGUUUGCAUACAUGCAGCAAACCUGACUUACAUAUACAGCAGGAUUACUCCGAGAGUGGCAGAUUGAGAUCAGCAGCCUGUGUGUCUGUUCAUCCAUCCAUCCACCCAUCCAUCCAUCCAUCCAUCCAUCCAUCCAUCCAUCCAUCCAUCCAUCCAUCCAUCCAUCCAUCCAUCCAUCCAUCCAGUGCUGGGAACAACUAUGUAGAGCUGGGAAAUGCAGCAGUCCAUGGCAGUACUUUCCAAAAUCCCAUCGCCAUGGGAUGCCCCUGGCCGUAUGCCUGCUGGGCACCUGUGUUCAUGGGCAGAGCUGAGGCUGUGCAUUCUCUGCAGCUGCAUGCAGGAUGACAGGCCCGGCAUCAUUCCCCAGUUAGUACUUCACCUUCGGCACUGCUGAGCAAUUGUGCACUGUGCCAGUGUCCUUCAGUGCCAUGCCACAGUGCACUGGUGGGUCCCUCAGGGGGUCCCUGCAUGCCCAGGCUCAGGGUGGGGACCAGUGAGCAUGGGAAGGCAAGGACCAUGUCUGCAACUAUAACUCAGAAAGUGAGAAGAGAGGUUGAAAAAAGGUGCUUGUAGUUUCCUUUGAAACUAACAGGCCCCAUAAUAUUUCAGGCAGCUGGUGGUGUCAAUGAGCGGCUGCAGAGCGCUCCAUCCCAGGGUCUGUUGGUGUGUGCUGAGCCAGCUGGUCCGCAGAGGCUGAGCCCCAGGUCCUCUGGAGCGUUCAGAAACUUUGUGGUCUUUUGGGAGGAAGGCGUGUAAGCCUCAUACUUUCCUGGCUAAAGCCUGAUGGUUUCCUGGCUCUGCCAGUCCAGGGAGGGAGUUGCAAGUUUGCAGGGUCAUGUGUGGCUAGACCCAACCCAUGCCCUUGGCCCCAGGAUGGAUGAUGGAAGGGGAGAUGCUCUGGGCAAGGCCAAAGGUACUACACCUGUAUGUGACAUGCUGUGUGUCAGCCUGACACAGGGUGAAAAACUCUGCUGUAGCUCCCCUGGAAAUAAAUAACUGCAAGAAGGAACGUAAAGGGGUGGAUGUCAUGCUGGAGGGAGGCAGCCAGUGCAAACUGAGUUACAAAAGUGCUGCCUGCAAGAGCAGCGAGCCUGGCCGCAGCCUGGCCACAGCUAUUUUGGUGCCGAGAGGGGGCUGAGCGUGGAGGUGUUGCCAGUAAAAAUGCACACUGGUGUCAAGUGGGAGGGGAGGAGGUGGGACAGAGGGAUGCAGCCAAAGGACGCCCCAGCAUGAAGGGGGGCAUGAAGGGGUGGUGCCUGCUAGGUGCCUUCGAUGUGGUGAAUGGUGUUUUGACUGCGGUAGGAAGGUAGGCUUCAACAUUUCAGGGAGGGUGGCUGAAUGAUGUGUUUGCAGCAAGAAGUGGAUACCUUUGCCAGGACCACAGCAUUCAUGAAAGAAGCUAGGGGUAGCUAAAAUCUGAUGGGGUCCUUAGAGUCAAAGCUGGGGAAGCAUGAACAGGAGGCGAUUUUAAAUUAAAACCAAAGCAAUCCAUAAUAAAGAGCUGUGUCUAGGAAGCAGAGUUAUUUCUGACUUCAGGUUUUGAGAAGUCUUGAAACUAGGUCCAAGUUGUGUGUCUCCUGCUAUUACAUGACCUUUACUUUGCAGUGUCCUACCCCACCCUCCCAUUGACCCGCUUAGUGCAAAGACCAAUUAUUUUAUUCCAAAAAGCAAACUAUCCUCUUUCCUUAGGAAGAUAUUUCUGUGGCCUCUGCAAGAGCAUUAGCCAGAGAUGGUUAUGGGCACUGUGAUGGGCUAACGAGGGGGUUGGUGUGCAGUCAUCAGUGGUCCAUGUAGGAGAGUGGCACACCUGCCUCCAGCUCAUGGGCAUUUGGAAGGAGUCUGGGUUUUCUGGACCUGCCUCUGUGCCCCAGGGGCAUCCCUGAGCCCUGCGAUUUCCCAGUUCGCUGGGCCUUUGCCUGCCCCUAACAAAACUAGAGCAGAUCUGACCCAGAAAGCUGAAUGCAGAAGUGAUCGAUAGUGAUGGUAAUUGGCUGGCAGUGCUGCCUGGAGGCUCUCGGUGUCUCAGUCCCAAAAUAGAUAAAUGCGUUCAGAUAAAAUGUAGGCAGUCUGACUCUGCUGGCAGGAGCAUUGGCUGGAGGGGGGUUCAGCCUAUGGUCCAAGGGCUGCAGAGGGUAAGGCUGCUGGCAGAGGGCUGAGUAUACUGUGCCCCAUCCCUGGUGAAUGAAUCUGGUCCUUCUGGUUUCCCUUACCAGUGAUGUUGUGUCUCCAGCAGGUUUUGCUGUGCAAGGUGUUUGCUCUGCAGCAGCAGAGCGUGGAAGGCUUGGGUGGAGGGAGGCAGGCAGGGCAUGUGCUGUGAGAGGGGAACAUGCUCACACGCAGCUCUGGGUGCUAUCACUCUGUGUGUGAGUGCCUGGGAAGGAGAUGCAUCCACUCAUCCCUGAGUGGGGAGUAGACACUUACUCCUGGGCAAGAAAGCAGUCCCUGUUUUUAAGGAAAUAAACAAAUCCCAAAGAACAUCCUUUUAGAGUGCCCUCCUCCUGCCUGCUCAUGUCCCUAAGGGACAACAAGGGCUUUGUAACUGCCCAGGACUCUCAGGAACCAAAACAACCUUGGUAUGAGCACAUCAGCUGUAAAUCAGUGGGCUCCACUGGGUACUAUUGCUAGGGUAAAUUUAGUGCUGAUUGCUUUGAUCUGUAAUGCUUUUAUUUCGUAGCCACUACAGAGAUAGACACAAGGUCAGACUAAUGACUGAUACAUGAAAAGCUUAUGUGGCUUUUAUUGAUUUUGCAGUGAUUAAUGAUUCGGCGGGGGGGGGGGGGGCGGUGAUUCAUGCACACAUGAAAGGUGCCUGGGAAUGAGCAACACUGACCGAGGCAGCCUUUUAAUUCCAGCAUCCAGUCUGCUUCCCACUGCUCAGGGUACCAGUGCCUCUCUCAUGCAUGUCCUUGCACUGGGCACAUACCCAUUUGUACGCAGUGAGCUCUCGCACUCAUGUCUAACUUCUGUUUGCCUUGCCUUUGCUGUCCAUUUUGGAAGGGGAUCAGAAAUAACAAAACCUAAACCCUUAUUGUAGUCUUGUUGACAAAUCCUGUUGAAGCUUUCCUGCUGCUGUCCUAGGUGGUCCAAGAAGAGAGUUCUGGCUCACGUCAGGAGGCAUUGCUGCACAGCCCCUGCAGGAGGCGUCCCCCGGGUUCAGCCCUUUGGUUAGCAGCAUGUGAUCUCUCAAUAAAGGAGCUUUGAAGCUGUUUGCUUUGAUUA